UUAGUCAAGGAAUCUUCAUUGGGUCCCAUGUUAAAGUGCCACAUUUUACAACAAAAUAAAGAUGUUUGAAGUCUGGUUCAAAAACGACUUGGGAUUGGAUCUUCUCCCUCUGAGGGAAACAGCAGUCGCCCAGACAAGGUGUUAAUCCCAGCAGCUCCUGUGAGCCCCCAGCCUUUCACAAAACAUCCCAUCUCAGCGCACACGCCUGGUGAUCCACUGUAUGCAUAAUGAGUCAAGCAUGUACUUAAAUGCCAGAGUUUAACACCACUUGUCCACAGAGACAGAUGGUUACCCCUACCUUCUCAAUACCACCUUCAAAAAUACACGUUCUACAGACUAGCGCUUUCCUCUUUUCCACUUUUCUUCUUCUAAUUGAUGCAGUUUUCUCCCUCACACAUUUUCCUUUAACUGAGGAGGUGCUGCUUCUUUGUGAGGUUGGAAUAGAGCUGUAGCUGUAGGCUUUGAAUCAGGAGAUAAAGCCAAUCUUGUGUUAAUCCACCUGAGGCUGGACCAACAGGAAGGACUGACUUCCCACCUGAGAGGCCUUUAUACAUGUUUCAUAUGAACUACCCCGGAAAUCUUGUUUAUGUUCCUGGUUUCAGGCAGUGUGAAGUUUUCAAAAGUACAUUAAAACGCUGAUCUUUUCCA